UAUUGACAGGUGCUGGCAAAUUAGCAUUCUGGCAGCAGGUCCUGAAAGCCUCAGCACUCUGUGCCUGGUCUUCUUUCACUUCUGUCUCUCUCUCUCUCUCUCUCUCUCUGUCUUUCAGACUCUGUAAGUUCAGUGGAUCUCAGAGUCCUCUCUGUUCACAAAAACAAAAGAAGAGAAGGUGCAAGAUUGAUAAAUCAUUCGGAAACAAAGUUAACAAGUGAUUUUGUGCAAAAAAAGCAGACGUACCAACCACCGUCUCAUUGAAUGGCAGAGCAGGCUCAAGGGGGGCUGAAUGGCCUCCCUUGUUUCUCCGCACAGUCAGAGGUGCUAUUGCGAUGUUAAACCGAGACUUUCAGAGACCAUUCUCGAUUCUAGAUAACUCUGGAGGGUCAAAACCUACAAGGUGCACUGCAACAAUUCACCAAAGAUCCUCAGACAACAUCUUCCAAACCCACAAUCACUUCCACCUAGGAGGAUAAGGGCAGCAGAUUAUGUGGGAAUACCACCACCUUCAUGUUCCCCUCCAGGCCUCUCAUCACCCCGACUUGGAAAUACAUCACCAUUCCUUUACUGUCGCUGAAUCAAAAUCUUGGAAUCCCCUCCCUCAUGGCA